GAAUGGUUGGCUCAGUUAGAAAGAGCGCUCGCAGGCAACGCGAGAGGUCGCGGGUUCGAGUCCCGCAUCGUUCA